GUAGGGAAUAUUGGGCAAUGGAGGCAACUCUGACCCAGCCAUGCCGCGUGCAGGAAGACGGUCCUCUGGAUUGUAAACUGCUUUUGAAUGGGAAGAAACGUAGCUUUGCGAAGCUAUUUGACGGUACUAUUAGAAUAAGCACCGGCUAACUCCGUGCCAGCAGCCGCGGUAAUACGGAGGGUGCAAGCGUUAUCCGGAUCUAUUGGGUUUAAAGGGUGCGUAGGCGGCUUUAUAAGUCUGGGGUUAAAGGCGGCAGCUUAACUGUACGCAUGCCCUGGAAACUGUGAAGCUUGAGUGACUUGGAGGUAGCUAGAAUUCCCUGUGUAGCGGUGAAAUGCAUAGAUACGGGGAGGAAUACCGAUUGCGAAGGCAUGUUACUACGAGUAAACUGACGCUGAUGCACGAAAGCGUGGGGAUCAAACAGGAUUAGAUACCCGUGUAGUCC
rnacentral:rRNA from 1 species